GACGUAGGGGGCAAGCGUUGUCCGGAUUUAUUGGGCGUAAAGAGCGUGUAGGCGGCCAGACAGGUCCACUGUGAAAACUCGAGGCUCAACCUCGAGAGGUCGGUGGAAACCGUCUGGCUAGAGUCCGGAAGAGGAGAGUGGAAUUCCCGGUGUAGCGGUGAAAUGCGCAGAUAUCGGGAAGAACACCCGUGGCGAAGGCGGCUCUCUGGGACGGUACUGACGCUGAGACGCGAAAGCGUGGGGAGCGAACAGG
rnacentral:rRNA from 1 species